GGCUGCUGCUUCAAGGCGGGAGAGAUACAUAGUCCUCCUGAGCAUCGGGAGCAAGGAGGGGUGGAGAGUGAGGGGAGGCAGAAAGAAAGAAGAGAGUGUGGGUGAUAAUGGUGAGAACGACCGAGGAGAGAGGGUUGGAGAGAGACCGGGAAGAGAGAGUGGGAACUACACGCCGGGCCAUUAAUUGGGCCGUAGCUCGCUUGGAGCCAGGGUAAGCUGACUGGCCGCCCUCCCCGGGAGCCACAGCUCCCGCCGGUUCCUGCCGCUCUGGCUCAGCC
ensembl:lncRNA